UACGUAGGGGGCGAGCGUUGCUCGGAAUCACUGGGCGUAAAGCGCGCGUAGGCGGGUCGUUAAGUCAGGGGUGAAAUCCUGGAGCUCAACUCCAGAACUGCCCUUGAUACUGGCGAUCUCGAGUUCGGGAGAGGUGAGUGGAACUGCGAGUGUAGAGGUGAAAUUCGUAGAUAUUCGCAAGAACACCAGUGGCGAAGGCGGCUCACUGGCCCGAUACUGACGCUGAGGUGCGAAAGCGUGGGGAGCAAACAGG
rnacentral:rRNA from 1 species